rnacentral:rRNA from 1 species
UUCCGGUUGAUCCUGCCGGACCUGACUGCUAUCGGAUUGAUACUAAGCCAUGCUAGUCUUUGCAGUAAUGCAAGGCAUACGGCUCAGUAACACGUAGUCAACUUACCCUAUGGACGAGGAUAAUCUCGGGAAACUGAGCAUAAUACUCGAUAGAUCAUAAUGCCUGGAAUGGUUUAUGGUUAAAAUGAUUCGUCGCCAUAGGAUGGGACUGCGGCCUAUCAGCUUGUUGGUGAGGUAAUGGCCCACCAAGGCGAUUACAGGUACGGGCUCUGAGAGGAGAAGCCCGGAGAUGGGUACUGAGACAAGGACCCAGGCCCUAUGGGGCGCAGCAGGCGAGAAAACUUUGCAAUGUGCGAAAGCACGACAAGGUUAAUCCGAGUGAUUUCUGCUAAAGAAAUCUUUUGCAAGUCAUAAAACCACUAGUGAAUAAGGGGUGGGCAAGUUCUGGUGUCAGCCGCCGCGGUAAAACCAGCACCUCAAGUGGUCAGGAGGAUUAUUGGGCCUAAAGCAUCCGUAGCCGGCUCUGUAAGUUUUCGGUUAAAUCCAUGUGCUCAACGCAUGGGCUGCCGAAAAUACUGCAUAGCUAGGGAGUGGGAGAGGUAGACGGUACUCGGUAGGAAGGGGUAAAAUCCUUUGAUCUAUCGAUGACCACCUGUGGCGAAGGCGGUCUACCAGAACACGUUCGACGGUGAGGGAUGAAAGCUGGGGGAGCAAACCGGAUUAGAUACCCGGGUAGUCCCAGCUGUAAACGAUGCAGACUCGAUGAUGCAUUGGCAUAUAGCCAGUGCAGUGUCGCAGGGAAGCCGUUAAGUCUGCCGCCUGGGAAGUACGUACGCAAGUAUGAAACUUAGAGGAAUUGGCGGGGGAGCACCACAAGGGGUGAAGCCUGCGGUUCAAUUGGAUUCAACGCCGGA